UGAACGCUGGCGGCGUGCCUAAUACAUGCAAGUCGAGCGAACAGACGCGGAGCUUGCUCCUCUGACGUUAGCGGCGGACGGGUGAGUAACACGUGGAUAACCUACCUAUAAGACUGGGAUAACUUCGGGAAACCGGAGCUAAUACCGGAUAAUAUAUUGAACCGCAUGGUUCAAUAGUGAAAGACGGUUUUGCUGUCACUUAUAGAUGGAUCCGCGCCGCAUUAGCUAGUUGGUAAGGUAACGGCUUACCAAGGCAACGAUGCGUAGCCGACCUGAGAGGGUGAUCGGCCACACUGGAACUGAGACACGGUCCAGACUCCUACGGGAGGCAGCAGUAGGGAAUCUUCCGCAAUGGGCGAAAGCUUGACGGAGCAACGCCGCGUGAGUGAUGAAGGUCUUCGGAUCGUAAAACUCUGUUAUUAGGGAAGAACAAAUGUGUAAGUAACUAUGCACGUCUUGACGGUACCUAAUCAGAAAGCCACGGCUAACUACGUG
rnacentral:rRNA from 1 species